GUGGCCCUACGGGAGGCAGCAGUAGGGAAUUUUCGUCAAUGGCCGCAAGCCUGAACGAGCGAUGCCGCGUGAGUGAAGAAGGCCUUCGGGUCGUAAAGCUCUGUUGCGGGGGAAAAAAGGCAGCAUCAGGAAAUGGGUGCUGACUGAUGGUGCCCCGCCAGAAAGUCACGGCUAACUACGUGCCAGCAGCCGCGGUAAUACGUAGGUGGCGAGCGUUAUCCGGAAUGAUUGGGCGUAAAGGGUGCGCAGGCGGUCCUGCAAGUCUGGAGGGAAAGGCAUGAGACCAACCAAUGCAUG
rnacentral:rRNA from 1 species